GUCAUCGCUGUGGCUGCCUCAUAAUGCCUGCAAUUAUUGCUCCGUGGGCUGCCAGAGCCACUAAUGAUGCUGUGUUGGCUGUUGGUGCUGCGGGAGGCGAGGGCUGUGUGCUCACCCUGCAGAAUGCCGGGAGCUGCAAUGGGAAGAGCAAUCACCCACAGCUUCUGCUGAGAUCUGCUCCCUCUGGGUCCUCAAGGUUGGUGUUUUCAUGCACUCUCUCCAGAUAAAAAUUCAUCUGCUUGUCCAA
rnacentral:lncRNA from 1 species